UACGAAGGGGGCUAGCGUUGCUCGGAAUCACUGGGCGUAAAGGGUGCGUAGGCGGGUCUUUAAGUCAGGGGUGAAAUCCUGGAGCUCAACUCCAGAACUGCCCUUGAUACUGAGGAUCUUGAGUUCGGGAGAGGUGAGUGGAACUGCGAGUGUAGAGGUGAAAUUCGUAGAUAUUCGCAAGAACACCAGUGGCGAAGGCGGCUCACUGGCCCGAUACUGACGCUCAUGCACGAAAGCGUGGGGAGCAAACAGG
rnacentral:rRNA from 1 species